CAGAGGGUAGUCUAGUUUAGGAUCUUAGCUUUGGGAGUUAAGGGCGGGAGUUAGAAUCUCCCCCCUCUGA
rnacentral:tRNA from 1 species